rnacentral:ncRNA from 1 species
GAAAAGGCAUUGAUGGUGCCAGUAGAUGAUCAUUUUCUUACAGAGAGAGGAAGACGCCGGCUGAAAACUUCCUUAAGUUCAGAUGAUUAUUGAAUUUCCCACCGGAGCUGCAUUUUUGAAAUUUAACGCAAGCUAUACUGUAGGAUAUGUGUGUCAGGGAGAGCCUGCCUCAUCGGAUCAUAUCAGAAUCAAGUGGUUGCCGUUAAACGGGUAGAAAAUGACGACUGUGCGCGUUAAGCAUGCUAAGAGCCUGUUUUAUACAGGAAUUAGGGUGGUACCACGGAAUUAAUAUAACUUCGUCCCUUGC